GCCGGCGUAGCUCAACGGUAGAGCAACGGUUUCGUAAACCGUAGGCUAUGGGUUCGAUUCCCUUCGCCGGCUCCA
rnacentral:tRNA from 1 species